UCUAUGUCAACUACUUUCUCUCGCUUUUUUUUCUUUCUUUCUUUUUGUUCUUUUCUGCUCAAACAUCAACUGUAAAGAAAACUCCUUUUACCAGGAAGAUGGUCGAUGCUUCACCUAAAAUGUUCAACAACGUUUGCCCCACGGGGCAAACCAAACCCUCAAUGGGCAUGUCUCCUCUCAAGAUUUUCAAGAAUCCAGUUGGUGAAUGAAAAGGUUCAAUUCCAAAAGGUUUUUUAUUCUUCUUAUCUUCCCAUUGUAUUAAUUAAUUGGAAAGAGAUUCUGUAUUUUCAUAGAUUGGACGAUGGAAUUAAUCAGGUACUCAACUUUGAUUUUUCUAAUCUAUUGCAUUUUAAUUGGGGAAUUUUCUCAAAUCCAUCAUUUCUUUGUAUUGCCAGUUAGGAAUGAUCGUUUUCUUCCUCAAUCUUUACAGAACAUUCUGGUUUCUUCAGCCUUGAUAGUGCCAAGAAGCUUUGAUUCAAGAAUCCAUGCAUUUAUCUUCGGAUCAACUUUGGCCUCAUACCAAGGAUCCAAACACGCACAACGUAGUGGCCAAAUGCUUGAUCAUUCCUUGAUGCACGAUUUUUCAGCCUUGUCCUGGUUUCAAGAAUAAGUUUUUAUCGUUUCAAGAUUCUAUCCUUCUAAGAUUCGUUGGAAUCCGUCUGCCAGUAACCUUGCUUUUUCAAAGCAAUCCUACAAAUUCAGUUUUGUACAGAGAACCUGAUUUACAAAUGCCAGCAGAAUGAAUUUGAGGGGAAAAAAGAUACAAUAUCAUCUGAUUUUGACGAUUAGAAGUUUUCAGGCCAUGGAAAAUCAAGCUCAUUUAGUUAUACCACUGCAGAAACUCAUUCAAAAGAAAUAGGUGGAGUUUUCCUUCUUAUCUAUUGGAGGCUAUUAUACUUGUGAAAAGAUGUUUGUGGUAUACUUUCUUAUUCUUCUAUACGGAAUUUAGUAUGUCCUAAUAGAUCAUGAUCAUUUGAUCCAAAAACAAAAGCUUAGUUUAUGAACAUGACUUCUAAUUAAGAAGAAGAAAAUUGUAAGUUGUCCUACAAUUCUGUCUAUUAAAACAUGAUUUAUAAAAUCAAAAUCAUGAGCAUGAUUUCUUUUGAUCCAAUUUCAUACAACAAAAAUCGUGUUCUGUUCUUGGUACACGACUUCUUAGUCCAUUUUAAAUUAAAACUGAAA